rnacentral:rRNA from 1 species
GACGAACGCUGGCGGCGUGCUUAACACAUGCAAGUCGAACGGAAAGGCCCUGCUUUUGUGGGGUGCUCGAGUGGCGAACGGGUGAGUAACACGUGAGUAACCUGCCCUUGACUUUGGGAUAACUUCAGGAAACUGGGGCUAAUACCGUAUAGGAGCUCCUGCUGCAUGGUGGGGGUUGGAAAGUUUCGGCGGUUGGGGAUGGACUCGCGGCUUAUCAGCUUGUUGGUGGGGUAGUGGCUUACCCAGGCUUUGACGGGUAGCCGGCCUGAGAGGGUGAACGGCCACAAGGGUACUGAGAGACGGCCCAGACGCCUACGGGAGGCAGCAGGGGGGAAUAUUGCACAAUGGGCGGAAGCCUGAUGCAGCAACGCCGCGGGCGGGAUGACGGCCUGCGGGUUGUAAACCGCUUUCGCCUGUGACGAAGCGUGAGUGACGGUAAUGGGUAAAGAAGCACCGGCUAACUACGUG